GGUUAAGCGACUAAGCGUACACGGUGGAUGCCCUGGCAGUCAGAGGCGAUGAAGGGCGUGCUAAUCUGCGAUAAGCGCCGGUAAGGUGAUAUGAACCGUUAUAACCGGCGAUACCCGAAUGGGGAAACCCAGUGUGACUCGUCACACUAUCAUUAACUGAAUCCAUAGGUUAAUGAGGCGAACCGGGGGAACUGAAACAUCUAAGUACCCCGAGGAAAAGAAAUCAACCGAGAUUCCCCCAGUAGCGGCGAGCGAACGGGGAGGAGCCCAGAGCCUGAAUCAGCAUGUGUGUUAGUGGAAGCGUCUGGAAAGGCGCGCGAUACAGGGUGACAGCCCCGUACACAAAAGCGCAUGUGUUGUGAGCUCGAUGAGUAGGGCGGGACACGUGGUAUCCUGUCUGAAUAUGGGGGGACCAUCCUCCAAGGCUAAAUACUCCUGACUGACCGAUAGUGAACCAGUACCGUGAG
rnacentral:rRNA from 1 species